rnacentral:misc_RNA from 1 species
UACAGAGGGUGCAAGCGUUGUUCGGAAUCAUUGGGCGUAAAGCGCACGUAGGCGGUUUAUCAAGUCGGAUGUGAAAGCCCGGGGCUCAACCUCGGAAGUGCAUCCGAAACUGAUUGACUUGAGUCCCGGAGAGGGUGGUGGAAUUCCUGGUGUAGAGGUGAAAUUCGUAGAUAUCAGGAGGAACACCUGUGGCGAAGGCGGCCACCUGGACGGUGACUGACGCUGAGGUGCGAAAGCGUGGGGAGCAAACAGG